rnacentral:rRNA from 1 species
UACCAGCACCCCGAGUGGUCGGGACGAUUAUUGGGCCUAAAGCAUCCGUAGCCGGUUCUGCAAGUCCCCCGUUAAAUCCAGCUGCUCAACAGAUGGGCCGCGGAGGAUACUACAGAGCUAGGAGGCAGGAGAGGCAAGCGGUACUCAGUGGGUAGGGGUAAAAUCCGUUGAUCCAUUGAAGACCACCAGUGGCGGAGGCGGCUUGCCAGAAUGCGCUCGACGGUGAGGGAUGAAAGCUGGGGGAGCAACCGG